ensembl:lncRNA
GGAAAAUAUGACAUCCAAACAGAAAAAAAGAUGAAACAUUGUCCAUGACUGCGUUUGACCAUCAGGCAUCACGAUGUAAACCCAGAGUCAACUUCCUCUUGUCCGAUCGGAGUCCUGCCGUCCGCCCAUCAAGAGCAGCUCGAUCCGGGAUGAACGAUGGAUUUAGGUCUCUGAGAAGACGUCGGCUCAAUUGUUGCAUGUUGGGUACGCUGGAAUAUUUCUGCAACAGAUUAAUAGCCAAUGGGUCAGAAGUCAGGUUUCGGCUGCUGAAAUACUCGGUGACACAACCGGUUCUCCCGGUUUGCUUUGGUCUUAAAGCCAG